UAUCUCUGUAGAGUCUGCAUAUCAAUAAGCGGAGGAAAAGAAACUAACUAGGAUUCCCUCAGUAACGGCGAGUGAAGCGGGAAGAGCUCAAAUUUGAAAUCUUCAAGGUUCUACCUUGACGAAUUGUAGUUUAAAGAAGUGUUUUCUGUUGGAGUUUUGGUAAAAGUUCUUUGGAAUAGGACAUCAUAGAGGGUGAGAAUCCCGUAUUUGACCAUUAUUUCCAGCUUUGUGAUACACUUUCAAAGAGUCGGAUUGUUUGGGAAUGCAGUCCAAAAUGGGUGGUAAAUUUCAUCUAAAGCUAAAUACUGGCGAGAGACCGAUAGCGAACAAGUACCGUGAGGGAAAGAUGAAAAGAACUUUGAAAAGAGAGUUAAACAGUACGUGAAAUUGUCAAAAGGGAAGCGUUUGACACCAGUGUUGUUUUCUCGAAAAUCAAUUAAAAAAGGCAGGAUUUUGUGUUGUAUUGACUUUAUCAGCUUUCUGCACUCUUUUCUUGUCUUUUUUUAAUGCACUUUUCGUUUAACAAGUCAACAUCAAUUUCUUUUGUUGUAAAAGGGUCAUUGGAAGGUGGCUUUCUUUUCGGAGAAAGUGUUUAUAGCCUUUGGCCUCUGCAAUCGGAGAGAUUGAGGUCUGCAGCGUAGAUCCUUCGGGGUUAGAUACAUUUGUGCUAAGUUAUAGCCUUUCAUAGACAACUUGUUGACUAUGAUCAGUCAUGUAGCUUACUCGCUUAUGCUAUUUUACCUACGCUUAGGAUGUUGAAGAUGUAGCACAUCAU
rnacentral:rRNA from 1 species